rnacentral:rRNA from 1 species
CUACCCGGGUUUCUAAUCCUGUUCGCUCCCCACGCUUUCGUCCAUCAGCGUCAGUCUUAUCUUAGCAACCUGCCUUCGCAAUUGGUGUUCUAAGUAAUAUCUAUGCAUUUCACCGCUACACUACUUAUUCCAGCUACCUCAAAUAUACUCAAGACUAACAGUAUCAACGGCAGUUCUACAGUUAAGCUGCAGGAUUUCACCGCUGACUUAUCAGCCCGCCUACGGACCCUUUAAACCCAAUAAAUCCGGAUAACGCUUGCACCCUCCGUAUUACCGCGGCUGCUGGCAC